GUUUCCGUAGUGUAGUGGUUAUCACGUCCGCUUAACACGCGGAAGGUCCCCGGUUCGAUACCGGGCGGAAAUA
rnacentral:tRNA from 1 species